UAGCAGAGCGUGGUUUUGAUCCGUGGACCUCUGGGUUAUAGGCCCAACAUGCUUUCACUGUGCCACACUGCU